CAGGCUUAACACAUGCAAGUCGAGGGGCAGCAUGGUCUUAGCUUGCUAAGGCCGAUGGCGACCGGCGCACGGGUGAGUAACACGUAUCCAACCUGCCGUCUACUCUUGGACAGCCUUCUGAAAGGAAGAUUAAUACAAGAUGGCAUCAUGAGUCCGCAUGUUCACAUGAUUAAAGGUAUUCCGGUAGACGAUGGGGAUGCGUUCCAUUAGAUAGUAGGCGGGGUAACGGCCCACCUAGUCUUCGAUGGAUAGGGGUUCUGAGAGGAAGGUCCCCCACAUUGGAACUGAGACACGGUCCAAACUCCUACGGGAGGCAGCAGUGAGGAAUAUUGGUCAAUGGGCGAGAGCCUGAACCAGCCAAGUAGCGUGAAGGAUGACUGCCCUAUGGGUUGUAAACUUCUUUUAUAAAGGAAUAAAGUCGGGUAUGCAUACCCGUUUGCAUGUACUUUAUGAAUAAGGAUCGGCUAACUCCGUGCCAGCAGCCGCGGUAAUACGGAGGAUCCGAGCGUUAUCCGGAUUUAUUGGGUUUAAAGGGAGCGUAGAUGGAUGUUUAAGUCAGUUGUGAAAGUUUGCGGCUCAACCGUAAAAUUGCAGUUGAUACUGGAUAUCUUGAGUGCAGUUGAGGCAGGCGGAAUUCGUGGUGUAGCGGUGAAAUGCUUAGAUAUCACGAAGAACUCCGAUUGCGAAGGCAGCCUGCUAAGCUGCAACUGACAUUGAGGCUCGAAAGUGUGGGUAUCAAACAGGAUUAGAUACCCUGGUAGUCCACACGGUAAACGAUGAAUACUCGCUGUUUGCGAUAUACAGCAAGCGGCCAAGCGAAAGCGUUAAGUAUUCCACCUGGGGAGUACGCCGGCAACGGUGAAACUCAAAGGAAUUGACGGGGGCCCGCACAAGCGGAGGAACAUGUGGUUUAAUUCGAUGAUACGCGAGGAACCUUACCCGGGCUUAAAUUGCAGAUGAAUUACGGUGAAAGCCGUAAGCCGCAAGGCAUCUGUGAAGGUGUUGCAUGGUUGUCGUCAGCUCGUGCCGUGAGGUGUCGGCUUAAGUGCCAUAACGAGCGCAACCCUUGUUGUCAGUUACUAACAGGUUCCGCUGAGGACUCUGACAAGACUGCCAUCGUAAGAUGUGAGGAAGGUGGGGAUGACGUCAAAUCAGCACGGCCCUUACGUCCGGGGCUACACACGUGUUACAAUGGGGGGGUACAGAGGGCCGCUACCACGCGAGUGGAUGCCAAUCCCAAAAACCUCUCUCAGUUCGGACUGGAGUCUGCAACCCGACUCCACGAAGCUGGAUUCGCUAGUAAUCGCGCAUCAGCCACGGCGCGGUGAAUACGUUCCCGGGCCUUGUACACACCGCCCGUCAAGCCAUGGGAGCCGGGGGUACCUGAAGUGCGUAACCGCGAGGAGCGCCCUAGGGUAAAACUGGUGACUGG
rnacentral:rRNA from 1 species